UUUCUUUUCUUCUUUCUUUCGGUGGACAGCAACAGCCCUCUUCCCCUUUUAUUUUCUUUCUUCUUCUUUUCUCAUUUCCCCUCUCUUCAUACCCGAUCUCUCCCCCUCACCCGCACGAUCUUCUUCUCUUCUUCUCCCUUCUUUCUCUCCUUCGAUCACGCCCAGCCAGCAGCAAGCAGUUGACUCCUUCUCUUUCCCUUUCCUCUCCUUCUUUUUCUUCUCGUCUCUCCCUUCAUCUCUGAUCACACAUGGCCGUGAGAGCUCGAGACACCAAGGGACCGUGAGAGCUGAGUUGUGAGAACCCAAACGUGCGGAAGUCGGAUUCUUGGCAGUUGGAGGUGCGAUUUUGGACUAGCGGGGGUUGAGCCACCAUCGUGGUGUGUGGACAGCUGCUGGGCCGUGUAUUUCGGCUAGGUUCCGGAUCAUGUUCGGAUUGGAGACUUUAAUUGGUUCUCCAAUGUAGAGUCCAAGUGACUAGAGUCCAAGGAAUGUUCAAGUUGGAGUCUAAUGCAGCCAAGUAGCAUAUUGCGAGAAGUCGACUAGGAAGCUUGAUAUCCGAAUAGCCAGAUGUGGUUAACCCCACAACCGUACAGACUCUGAUGUUUUGAUUGCAGGUUCAAUGGAUCUAACGAAUGACGUCGUAGCAUAGUACUUGGGAUGUUAUGCCUGAAGCUCGACGCGACAGUUAUAAUGGUUGGACCAUGGGUUGUCCGCCUUUUAGUAGAUUUUGUUUAUGGCUCGUGUCGCAUGUGACAAUUGUAUUUAUGAGCCAGACUUUUGAAUCGUAUCUGCUGACAGUCCACAACGCAGAGUCCGACAGAGGACAGAGAAGGAUGUGGUAGCUUCCAGACCUAAGAUUAUGAACAGGCCUGUCAUUCCAGAGAGGAAUGUUGUUCGAGCAGAUAUUAUGGUUGCUCCACUGGAUGGUAUCCAUGAGAUUAUCCAGACCUAUCUGUGACGACCCUUUUUUUUUUUUUUUUUUUUUUUUAUACAAACGUAAACAAGUCAUCGCAGUGGCACGACUACGUGUUGUUCAACCAACAUAUGGCACAUGCCCUAUAACAUGUACCUGAUUAUCAAAGUUACAUCUAACA